UACGAAGGGGGCUAGCGUUGUUCGGAUUUACUGGGCGUAAAGCGCACGUAGGCGGAUCUUUAAGUCAGAGGUGAAAUCCCGGAGCUCAACUUCGGAACUGCCUUUGAUACUGGGGAUCUUGAGUUCGGGAGAGGUGAGUGGAACUGCGAGUGUAGAGGUGAAAUUCGUAGAUAUUCGCAAGAACACCAGUGGCGAAGGCGGCUCACUGGCCCGAUACUGACGCUGAGGUGCGAAAGCGUGGGGAGCAAACAGG
rnacentral:rRNA from 1 species